AUGGCUUCCAGUGCUUUAACAAAACCUCAGAUGCAUGGACUUUGGGCCAAGCAUCUGCGAUUUCAUAUUAUUGGAGUAUUUGUUGUAUCCCUGGGGGUUGUAGCUCUCUUUAAGUUUGCUGUGGCUGAACCAAGAAAGAAGGCAUACACAGAUUUCUGCAGAAAUUAUGAUUCCAUGAAAGAUUUUGAGGAGAUGAGGAAGGCUGGUAUCUUUCAGAGGACAAAGUGA
rnacentral:lncRNA from 1 species